rnacentral:rRNA from 1 species
GUAAUAAUCCUGUAGUCGAAAAUGUUGUCUCUCUUGAGUGGAUCCUGAGUACGACGGAGCACGUGAAAUUCCGUCGGAAUCUGGGAGGACCAUCUCCUAAGGCUAAAUACUCUCUAGUGACCGAUAGUGAACCAGUACCGUGAGGGAAAGGUGAAAAGCACCCCGGAAGGGGAGUGAAAUAGAACCUGAAACCGUGUGCUUACAAGUAGUCAGAGCCCGUUAAUGGGUGAUGGCGUGCCUUUUGUAGAAUGAACCGGCGAGUUACGAUUUGAUGCAAGGUUAAGCAGUAAAUGUGGAGCCGUAGCGAAAGCGAGUCUGAAUAGGGCGUUUAGUAUUUGGUCGUAGACCCGAAACCAGGUGAUCUACCCUUGGUCAGGUUGAAGUUCAGGUAACACUGAAUGGAGGACCGAACCGACUUACGUUGAAAAGUGAGCGGAUGAACUGAGGGUAGCGGAGAAAUUCCAAUCGAACCUGGAGAUAGCUGGUUCUCUCCGAAAUAGCUUUAGGGCUAGCCUCAAGUGAUGAUUAUUGGAGGUAGAGCACUGUUUGGACGAGGGGCCCCUCUCGGGUUACCGAAUUCAGACAAACUCCGAAUGCCAAUUAAUUUAACUUGGGAGUCAGAACAUGGGUGAUAAGGUCCGUGUUCGAAAGGGAAACAGCCCAGACCACCAGCUAAGGUCCCAAAAUAUAUGUUAAGUGGAAAAGGAUGUGGCGUUGCCCAGACAACUAGGAUGUUGGCUUAGAAGCAGCCAUCAUUUAAAGAGUGCGUAAUAGCUCACUAGUCGAGUGACACUGCGCCGAAAAUGUACCGGGGCUAAACAUAUUACCGAAGCUGUGGAUUGUCCUUUGGACAAUGGUAGGAGAGCGUUCUAAGGGCGUUGAAGCAUGAUCGUAAGGACAUGUGGAGCGCUUAGAAGUGAGAAUGCCGGUGUGAGUAGCGAAAGACGGGUGAGAAUCCCGUCCACCGAUUGACUAAGGUUUCCAGAGGAAGGCUCGUCCGCUCUGGGUUAGUCGGGUCCUAAGCUGAGGCCGACAGGCGUAGGCGAUGGAUAA